AACCAUUUGUCUUGUCUUACUUCUCUUGUGAAGUAGAUCAACAAUCCCUGAAAAAUGCUGCACUCUCUAAGCCCAUGCACUGAGGGCAGCCCCUCCCCGUGCGGGGUGGCAGUGCCACAGCCCAUCGCUGACAGCUGCAACGAGCCUUGUGUUCAGCAGUGUCCCGACUCCACGGUGGUCAUCUACCCUCCACCAGUGGUUGUGACCUUCCCUGGCCCCAUCCUCAGCACCUUCCCCCAGCAGAGCGUCGUGGGAUCUGCAGGAGCCCCUCAAGUUGGAACCGGCUCUGGUGCUGCCAGUGCUCCUGGGGGCUCAAGCAUCUAUGGUGGGGCCAGAUGGAGAAGGGGGUACCCAGUUGGAAGCUGCAGACCAUGCUAAACCUAAUGAGAGCUGCUGCUGACAAAGGAAUGUCCAGGAGAUGACAAGCAGGAUGUAGAUACGUGGCUGAACUGUGGGACAUAGCGUUUAGGAAGGGCUGAGCAUCUGGGGCUGCCCUUAAAUGCACCUGUAGAUGCUCAGAUCUUCUGAAAAAUUUAUUUACAUCAUUUCUCUUUCUGAUUUUCUUUUUCUAAUGUCUAAGUGCUCCUAUCUUGAUGCUAUGGACUGUAUUGCUAAUUCCUUGGGGGGUUGUGGCUAUCUAUCACUGUGGCAAUGUGAAGGGAUCUGGUAUGAUAUCCAUUUUAGAUCCCUUUGUAGGCUCUUCCUGUGGCUACUGAUGCAUUAAAAAAGGACCCUGGAGUCAACCAGCCUGUGCUCCUGUUCCUGUGCUCUGUACAUCUUGCUGUGACCAGGGCUGAGCAUCGACUCAGAGCUGCAACAGGGAAGCAACAUCAGUUAUUACAUGAAUCAUCUUGCAUCAAACCACAGGGUUGUUGGCAAUUUGUAAUCUGUAGUAUAUAAUCCCGCCUCUGUAUGAUCUGCUUCUUUCGCAUUAAACAUGACAUUGCAACAUGUUA